GGUGUCGUUUCCCUCAGGGGGUAGGCGCUGGGCUGUGUGCCGUGUCUGCAGACAGUGCGGGGUGGGGGGCGGCAGCGUCGGGGCCCCCUCAGAGCACGCCCCGGAGUCCUCCCCAGCCGCCCGCUCCCCUUGCACUAGGCUUGGCACAAUUCGAUUUUUUAAUAUGUUUUUGAAAAUAACGUUCACAGAUAAUAUCGAGUUUUAUCUAGGUGGGUAAGGUGAGAACAAAGGAUGUGCAAAGCAGACGGAGGCGGUCAUAGCAGUGGGCAGGGAAGAGGAUUUUCCUGGCUGCAUUUUAUAUUAGACGAGUGAGGCAAGAAGCACGGAGAUUGGAAAGGAGGAGGUUGCAUUAAUCAAGCAAUCACCAGUGUGCUCAGUGCUUGAAGUUAAGAAGAAGAAGUGGAAGUGCUGGGGUUGCCAGCUAAUGGCAGAUGCUGAAUGUUUUCAGCUUUUCCUACAAGCAGGUGAAAGGAAACUUUGUGCACUACUCUGCUACUUUCCUUGAGGCUUUCAGGCCAGAUCUGCAAAGCAUGUUCCUACUGGCUCCGAGGCUUGUUAAAGGAAAGAGACUGUAAAAAAGAAAAAACACAUUACGUGUGGACUGCAAACGUAAAAGUGACUGAAGUAGGAAGAGAAAGAGAUAUAUUGGCAGCCUGGAGACAUAAUAAGCCAUUAAACCGUUUAAGGGAGGCC